rnacentral:rRNA from 1 species
AUUGAACGCUGGCGGCAGGCCUAACACAUGCAAUUCGAGCGGAGCGGCGGACGGGUGAGUAAUGCCUAGGAAUCUGCCUGGUAGUGGGGGAUAACGUCCGGAAACGGGCGCUAAUACCGCAUACUAUCAGAUGAGCCUAAGUCGGAUUAGCUAGUUGGUGGGGUAAAGGCCUACCAGGGCGACGAUCCGUAACUGGUCUGAGAGGAUGAUCAGUAACACUGGAACUGAGACACGGUCCAGAAUCCUACGUGAGGCAGCAGUGGGGAAUAUUGGAAAAUGGGCGAAAGCCUGAUGCAGCCAUGCAGCGUGUAUGAAGAAGGCCUUCGGGUUGUAAAGUACUUUCAGUCGGGAGGCGUUACCGACAGAAGAAGCACCGGCUAACUCCGUGCCAGCAGCCGCGGUAAUAC